rnacentral:rRNA from 1 species
UGCAGUCGAACGGCAGCACGGGAGCAAUCCUGGUGGCGAGUGGCGAACGGGUGAGUAAUAUAUCGGAACGUGCCCAGUCGUGGGGGAUAACGCAGCGAAAGCUGUGCUAAUACCGCAUACGAUCUCUGGAUGAAAGCGGGGGACUCGCAAGGGCCUCGCGCGAUUGGAGCGGCCGAUAUCAGAUUAGCUAGUUGGUGGGGUAAAAGCUCACCAAGGCGACGAUCUGUAGCUGGUCUGAGAGGACGACCAGCCACACUGGAACUGAGACACGGUCCAGACUCCUACGGGAGGCAGCAGUGGGGAAUUUUGGACAAUGGACGAAAGUCUGAUCCAGCCAUGCCGCGUGCAGGAAGAAGGCCUUCGGGUUGUAAACUGCUUUUGUCAGGGAAGAAAUCCUUUGAGCUAAUACCUCGGAGGGAUGACGGUACCUGAAGAAUAAGCACCGGCUAACUACGUGCCAGCAGCCGCGGUAAUACGUAGGGUGCGAGCGUUAAUCGGAAUUACUGGGCGUAAAGCGUGCGCAGGCGGUUAUACAAGACAGAGGUGAAAUCCCCGGGCUCAACCUGGGAACUGCCUUUGUGACUGUAUAGCUAGAGUACGGUAGAGGGGGAUGGAAUUCCGCGUGUAGCAGUGAAAUGCGUAGAUAUGCGGAGGAACACCGAUGGCGAAGGCAAUCCCCUGGACCUGUACUGACGCUCAUGCACGAAAGCGUGGGGAGCAAACAGGAUUAGAUACCCUGGUAGUCCACGCCCUAAACGAUGUCAACUGGUUGUUGGGAGGGUUUCUUCUCAGUAACGAAGCUAACGCGUGAAGUGACCGC